CAAUAGCGUAUACUAAAGUUGUUGCAGUUAAAAAGCUCGUAGUUGGAUUUCUGUUCUUGGGGAGCGGUCCGCCGCAAGGUGAGCACUGCUGCUCUGGGGACAUCCUCUCGAAGGCGGGUGGUGCACUUAAUUGUGUGCUGCUUGGAUUCGGGACCUUUACUUUGAAAAAUUAGAGUGUUCAAAGCAGGCGUCGGCUUGAAUACAUUAGCAUGGAAUAAUGGAAUAGGACUUUGGUUCUAUUUUGUUGGUUUCUAGGACCGAAGUAAUGAUUAAUAGGGACAGUUGGGGGCAUUAGUAUUUAAUUGUCAGAGGUGAAAUUCUUGGAUUUAUGAAAGACUAACUACUGCGAAAGCGUUUGCCAAGGAUGUUUUCAUUAAUCAAGAACGAAAGUUAGGGGAUCGAAGACGAUUAGAUACCAU
rnacentral:rRNA from 1 species